CAGGGUGUAGAACUCAACUCCUUCUCCAGUACCAUGUCUGCCUGCAUGCUGCCAUGACCUACCAUGAUGAUGAAGGAAGGACUGAACCUAUGAAGUAGUCCAAAUGAUUCAGGAGAACAAGAGAGUGGAAUGGAGCUAAGGCCUGUGUUCAAAGAGAUAAACAGAUUAGUAAAUGGAAUCAAGGAAGUGGUGACCUCAGGGUCAUCUUGCACUGUUUCUACUGUGACAUUCACUGAGGAAACAGAAGGUUAGAUCUUUUGUCUUCCUGAUCCAUAUUGAAUAAGACGAACCAAAAAUAUCAUGUCUUAAUCUCAUAAAACUUUAAAAAUUGUUAACUUAUUCGGAAAAAAUUGUGGAUGAAACUAAGAAUCUUGAUUUGAGAUUAAGUUUGUGAAAUGCACAGAAUAGGAAACAACUUGAAGAUAC